rnacentral:lncRNA from 1 species
GACAAACCGUGUGUGCCAUCACACUGGGCUAAAGCAGAAUAUUCUUUCAGCUGCCAGUACUACACUUGAUCUUAGCCAAACGGCCGAGAAGCGAUCAGCUGCCAGUACUCUGACUUGACCGUUCUUACUGAGACGGCUCAGUGGGUAAAGGUGCCUCCACCCCUGGGCCUAUACCAUAAAGUGGGGGGACCCCUGAAGGCUGUCCCUGACCUCCAUGGAGGCUAUGACAAUCACGCGCAGACAAAACUGGAAUUACUAGAUAGACGUGACUAAAGUAAUCUGGGGUUGGGGAUGUGGCUCCAUUGGUAGAACAACGGAGUCCGACGUGCAUGAAGCCCCGAGUUCAAGUUCGAGCACCACGAACGAGCACAGUGACAGUUAUGUAAUCCUGGCAAAAACUUCUUGGUCAUCCUUGGCUACAUACACAUUUGUGUCCAGCCUGAACUACCUAAGUCCCUGACUCAGAAAAAGAAAGAAAGAAGAAGAUAAAAAAAAAAAAAGGGGGAAAUACAGUUACUUAAAAGAAAAUUACUAUCCAA